GGCGGUUUGAGGACUCGCUCCGCGGUCUCUCUCUCUCUCUCUCUCUCUGUUCCUGCCACCCUCUCUCUCUCUCUCUCUCUCUCUGUGCGGGCGUCGACGCCGUAGAAUAGUUCGCAAUAGCAACGUCCAGGCACUCAUUAUGGCACUGCAAAGUUUCAGAGCUGAGAAGUUCCUCCUCCGCCAUAUUCUCUAGCCGUCGUUCCCGCCGCCAAAGCUCUGGCGUUGCAGAAAUUCUGGCCGCUUUAUCAGAAAUUGAUCUGGAAGGUCAUGCUGUUUAAGGUUCAGGUAGAACACAUUUGAUGUGGUCUCCAGUGGCCACUGCUUGGCAUAUGAUGCUUCCUGAGGUUGUUUCGUUGCAAAACAUUGAAGAUGAGAAGGCGGAAGAACUAGAAGAGAAAUGUCCGGUUAAUGUAUUCGACAUUGAAGAUAUCGGCAAGGGUAAGAAGAGGGCAACUGUAGUGAGACCAUGUGCUUGCACACUCUGUUAGGAAUGCAUCCAGGGGGAUGAAUGGAAAGAUAUGUGGCAUUACAAUGUGUUAAAAUCGUCUCAUAUCUGUGAAGAUCUUGGAAGACAAGUGUGAGUGUGUCAUUACCGAGCUCUCUUGAUGCUUUGGUCUUUGAAGAAGACAAUACUGGAUGUUUCAAAGAGAAUGCAGAGGGAAAAGCUGUAAAGAAAACAGUUUAAUUGGUGUGAUCAGAAUACUUGAGACAUCUUAAAAAUUGGAUGGAAGCAAGGGCUUAUGCUUUGUAAAGCUAUUCUGAGCGAGCCAAUCCAUUGAUCUGUAAGUCUUCACUUUUAUAUAUUUUGCCUGUUGAUCAAACUUGCACUUUAUUUGAUAAUGGGUGAGUUCAAACUUCUAAUCAGCACAGGUUUUUGUUUUUUUGUUUUUUUUUUAUUUUGGUAAAAUUAUAUUGAGUUUAAUGCCAUGUUGAAUUUUUGAAUUUGAAUAAAUUUGAACAAAUUUUAAUAUAAUUUUAUAUUAAAUCUUAUUCAAAUCUCCUCUCCGAAGAGAAAAUAGGGUAAAGUUAUUUAAUUUUUUUUUAUUGUAUAAAACUUGAAAUUCAUUAAUAAAUCUCCUCAUACAAAAAGCCUUUCUUCCAACCUGAGUUGUGAAUGUGCUAGCUCAUUAUAACAAUUUUUUAAUAGCAAAAAAACAAAGGUAAAUACAUAAUUUAUGUGUUUGAGAGUAUGAUUUUCAGAUAUUGGAUUUGAAUUUGAAUGGAUUUGGAUAAAUUUUAAUAUAACUUUCCUAUUAUAUUUUGUUCAAAUGCAAUGCAAAUUCAAAUAUCAAAUUUAAGCCUAUUCAAAUAUAUGGGAAUAAUUUUUUACCAUAUAUAAUAAGUUAUGUCUAACAUUUAAAGGAAAGACUUCAGUCUGGACAUGAUCCCUUCCCGAUAGCCUCCACAAAACCUUUAAUAUAAGAAACUAUUAAAAAAUCGCCGCAUCCUCUAGCCUAAGCAUCCUUAAUUCCUUCUCUAAUGGUCCACAACUCGCCUAGAGAUUAAAACAUCAAAAUAGAGGUCGUAUCCAUCAAUUUAACAGGAGCACCAUUUUGCUACUGCCUCUUUGGUUGGGUUGAUGGAUUCCAAACUAUAAAUCAUAAUAUUAAAUUUAGACUUAGAAGAAUUAAUUCAAAUAUUUUUAUAUUUUGAAAUGCAAUUUUUCUAUGCACCGCCAAGUUUAACUUGAAUGAAGAAAAGGUUUGACUUGUCCCUGGGCGGUAAGGAGGUUUUUUAGAAGACCGCUUACAACGAUGGAUUUUGGGUUCAAGCCUUGCUACUUGUAGUGCGCAUUUGGAUUUACCUCUUACAUGUUGGCUGUGGACACUGCUGGCGUAGGCGUGAGAUUAGUUCGGUGCGUAAGUUCAAGAAACCUGACAUAUCCAAAAAAAGAAAAGGUUUGACUUUCUUAUUCAUAUUAGCACUCUUUCUUCUUUAUAUGCUUCCGAUGAACUAUACAAAUGAGAUAGCAUAUUUUUCAUUUCA